rnacentral:rRNA from 1 species
GACGAACGCUGGCGGCGUGCUUAACACAUGCAAGUCGAACGGAAAGGCCCUGCUUUUGUGGGGUGCUCGAGUGGCGAACGGGUGUGUAACAUGUGAGUAACCUGCCCUUGACUUUGGGAUAACUUCAGGAAACUGGGGCUAAUACCGGAUAGGAGCUCCUGCUGCAUGGUGGGGGUUGGAAAGUUUCGGCGGUUGGGGAUGGACUCGCGGCUUAUCAGCUUGUUGGUGGGGUAGUGGCUUACCAAGGCUUUGACGGGUAGCCGGCCUGAGAGGGUGACCGGCCACAUUGGGACUGAGAUACGGCCCAGACUCCUACGGGAGGCAGCAGUGGGGAAUAUUGCACAAUGGGCGGAAGCCUGAUGCAGCAACGCCGCGUGCGGGAUGACGGCCUUCGGGUUGUAAACCGCUUUCGCCUGUGACGAAGCGUGAGGGACGGUAAUGGGUAAAGAAGCACCGGCUAACUACGU